AGGACGAACGCUGGCGGCGUGCUUAACACAUGCAAGUCGAGCGGUGAUCCUCCUUCGGGAGGUGAUCAGCGGCGAACGGGUGAGUAACACGUGGGCAACCUGCCCCUCACACUGGGAUAACCUCGGGAAACCGGGGCUAAUACCGGAUACGACCUCGAGCGGCAUCUCUUGAGGUGGAAAGCUCCGACGGUGAGGGAUGGGCCCGCGGCCUAUCAGCUUGUUGGUGGGGUAAUGGCCUACCAAGGCGACGACGGGUAGCCGGCCUGAGAGGGCGACCGGGCCACGACUGGGACUGAGACACGGCCCAGACUCCUACGGGAGGCAGCAGUGGGGAAUAUUGCGCAAUGGGCGAAAGCCUGACGCAGCGACGCCGCGUGAGGGAUGAAGGCCUUCGGGUUGUAAACCUCUUUCAGCAGGGACGAAGCGAAAGUGGCGGUACCUGCAGAAGAAGCACCGGCUAACUACGUGCCAGCAGCCGCGGU
rnacentral:rRNA from 1 species